AACGCACCUUGCGCCCCUUGGUAUUCCGAGGGGCAUGCCUGUUUGAGUGUCAUUAAAUCCUCAACUCCGAUCGAUUUGUUUCGACCCCGGGGCUUGGACUUGGAGUGUGCUGGCGUCUGGUCGGCUCCUCUCAAAUGCAUCAGCGGAAUUGAACCUUUGGGGUUUCCGGACAUCAGUGUGAUAAUCAAUGUUGUGCUGUUGUCUGACCUCAAAAGUCCGCUCACAAUCGUCCCUUCGUGGACAAAGCUCAUCAAAUUUGACCUCAAAUCAGGUAGGACUACCCGCUGAACUUAA
rnacentral:misc_RNA from 1 species